rnacentral:lncRNA from 1 species
GAUCUUCAAAUAUCAUAGAAAUCCUACCCAACCUCAAACUGCCACCUUCUGAAAUCCUCUUGUACUAAAAACUAGAUAUCUCUAAACACGCUGUUAGAUGAUCACAAAAUUUUGUAUACAUGUAGAACACCCAAUAAUCCAAAUUGUGUCAAAUUUUCAACUGUAGAUGUUAUGCCAAUUACAUGAACUAGCCAAAAUUACUAGCCUUAAUUAUAUUACAUAAAAUCCAAAUCA